AUGGCCAUCCAGCAUCUGCUCCUCAUCGUCUUUCUGGCUUCCGUCCUCCAAGCGACCACCUCCGACACAGCGUACGACCUUUUGGAGAAAAACAAAUUCCCGCGGGCUCUCCUGCCUCAGGGUGUGAAGUCGUACGUGAAUCAUGGAGGCGCCGUUGAGGUGACCCUCCCCGCCUCCUGCGACUUCAACGUUACGGUUGCCGGUGGAUCACACAAGAUUCGGUUUGACAGCAUAGUCAGUGGGGUUAUCCAGCCCGGAUCCAUAACUCAACUGGGCGGCGUGAGGAUCCAGUUUGAGUGGGAUUUUCUUGCAUUCCACACGGUUCAACGCGUCGGUGACAAGCUCAGGUUUACUGGUAGUGAGCAUGCAGCCACGUUCGACCAGUCAUUUCCGGUUAGCAACUUCGUGCAGAGCCCCAGGUGCAGCUAA
rnacentral:rRNA from 1 species